GCUGGGCGUGGUGGCAUGGCAGAGGGAGGUGUCGACAGAAUCAGCUGCCGCAGUGACAUUUUCAUGCUCGCCAGUGGCGUGUAAAGUGCGCUGAAAGCUCGCCGAUUCAAACCUGGUCAGCUUUCAGCGCAGGCGGAGCGCAGCUGGUCUAGUGGUAUUUUGGUAGACCGGCGGCGUAUCGGCAUACGUCACCGAUGCCUCACCGGCAGGUUUCCACAGUGUCAGGCACAUUUCAGUGCAAUAAAUAAUCAUCAGCAACUAUUAAUCUGAGUCAGCACAUACAUUUAGUUCUAUAUAGAUAUAUUCUGAACUUUAUCUGAUCUGAUGAGCAUGUUUGGCACGUGUUUGGACACACAACCUGACCGAAUCAACACAGCUGAAACCGCAUUAAAUUAAAUUAAAUAUCUAGUAAAUAGACACACAUGAUGAAGUCAACAAGAUAUCUAAUUUGUCUCCCUCCUUUUCUUCCUUUCUCUUCCUCUUAUUUUUCGUGCAGCUUGACCUGGACACGUCUCCGUGUCCUCUCUCCGUCCUGCUGCAGCAGCUGAACAGGGGCCUCAUGUAUCAACGCUUGCGGCGCAAGAAAACCUUGCGUACGCCAAAAUCGGCACACACGUCCAGAUUUAUCAUCGCGAAACGAGCGUCGGUUCCAGCGCUAAUCAACGCAAAGUCAGGAGGUGGUGUAGAAAUUGGCGUUGAGCCGAUACUUGCGUUGACUGUGAUUCGCACUUUGGCGACGCUGUGUGGCGGUGUUUGGUGACUCACUAUGUGACAAGCGUGCACCACAUCCCCGUGGCCGAGCAGCACGUCGCCCCACAUGACGAACCAGCAGCAGACGGAGGGAUGCGAGCUGAUCCCUGCCGGGCCGCCGUCCUCGCGCGGGAGAAUCUCAUCGCCACAGUGUGAAUGGGUAAGAAGUGAAUACACAGUUCAAUGAGCCAAAUUAAUUUAUUUUCUCCACCAGACGCUCGAGGACAUUUACGAGCCGGUCCAGCCGCUCGUUGAUCUCCGCGAUCCCCCUGAUGAUUUCUUCCUGCGAUUGCAGGACCCCCUCUGCGAGGACCCUUCCACUGCGCCGCGGCUGGUGGACGCUCCACCGCUUGUCGGCGCGCUGGUGCUGAUGCUGGUGCUGGUGCUGGGGCCGGGGGCCCGAAUGCCGCUGGUCCUGGCUGACGACUCCAAGCCGGUGGACGGGCUGCCGCGGGCCGGGGUUCCGCAAGCCGGCGACACGGCCGACACAUUGAUUUCUGUGACACAAUAAAAAUAUUUGUUCAUUUCAAUUCCUGCUUCUGUGUAUCUGUUCCGUUUACAUCUCUCUCCACGGUAUCAUAGGUAAUGUAAUCCAGUGUUUCGAGGUCAGUUAUGCACAUUUCUGUUGUUUAUUGCAUAAAAAGUUAUCGAAAAAUGAAGUUAAGGGCGAAGUAUAAAUCACGUCUAAAAAUAGACUGAAUCCCGACGUUGAAAUGAAGUAUAAACUUAGACUAGACGUCUAAUAUACGUCUUUUGCUCAGUGGGAUGGCAAAGCAUGUGGACAUUUGUGUGACACGCCACUUACCCUAUAAUAAUAAUCGCCACCACCCGCUGCUCAAACGGUGUGAGGGUCUCCUCCCCCGGACCCCCACCUGUCUGGCCAGUACUCCUCCGGGGGGCAGCUGUACGCCGCUUGACCUCCACCUUGAGGUCCGACCACUUUUUUUUAAUCUUCGCGGGGGUGCGUGUCUCGGAACCCACCGCAUUCACCCUCUCGCAAACUUUCUCCCACUCCAAGCGUUUUUGUUUUGCACUGACGCCACUGGACAGGCUGCCAAACAAAACACGCUGUCGCUCCUCCACCUCCGCCACCAGCACCUCCACCUCGCACGCCGUAAAUGUAGUUUUUCUUGUCAUUUUGUCUGCGUGCGAGGACAGGGAGACCUUAUUUCAAUAAAUCUGCAUAUUUAUAGGAGGGCGUAACGGGGACGGGCCCAGUCACUCCGACAUCUGCGCUCAAUUCCACGCUGAUUGGGAUUUAUCAAGGAAACACACGUGGAUUUCGGCGCCCGCACACAUUGAUACAUACGGAUUUUUUUCAGCGUGACGGACCUUGCGUGCGCUCGUUUCUGGUAUGAGUUCCACGCAAGUGUUGAUACAUGAGGCCCCAGAUGAUUUGUUUCAGUGAUCAGAUGAGUUAUUUACUUUAAGCCUACAUACGAAUAUUAUAAUAUUCAGUUUUGUGAGCCAAAUUUAUUUUAUAUGCCAACAUCUAUGACAGAAAGAGCCAGGCCUCAGAGCGCGAUGCGUCAUUACGUACAGGUGGUUCCGAUUUUAAUGCCAUUUUUGGAGUUUAUGUUGUGAUCUGUGCGCUCAACCCACCUUUGUCACGUGAGGUUUGAAUAUAUGCAACUUUAUGUGAGUGUCUUUAUUUGUGUAAAAGGGUGUUUGUCUUACCAGUGGUUCCAACAUUACACACACCAAAUCCAUCUGUGCUCAUAUGAGAGAGUGUGGAGGACGCCCAAUGCAGCGCUUACAGUGACACUUGUUGAGGGGCUGCCUUCUGUCCCCAUCGUGUGGCAUUACUGUCUUCAGACAUCUCUUGAUCUCUUUGACUACUUCCCGAAAAUAGUAAUACGCCUCGCCUGUGGCGGAUUUAAAGGCAAGGAGAGGAGCUUAUGGGAUUGGUGAAAACAGGUCUCGGCUGUGUUAAAUCCACUCCAUGCCCUAUAUCCUCCUUCGCUACGACUUACACCACUGGGAGGAGCUGAGUUAGGGAGGGGGGAUACUGACGCCGGGCUGCGCCGCUCACCAAAAUACCAAAUUGUGCUUGGGAAUGCCUUGUCGGCGCGGCGGACCUGACUUACACCGCACCUGCGGCACGUCUCCGGCGAGGCACGAAAAUAGAGCCCUAGAUGUUGAAUUGAUAAGUCCAUGCAAUCAUGUCCCUAGACAUCAUCUAUCUCCUUAUCUCCGUGUAAUAAGGACUUUGAAUGUAUGGCAGGGUUAGUAUGAGUUGCUGUAGAAAUGAUCAGAUUUUGCGCUCCUGUCAAAAUAUUUUCAUAAUUGCUUCUUCUCUGACUAGUCAUAUGUUGGGUUGUUAUGUUAAGAAGGAUAACAUUGACCGCAUGCGAGGUGUGAAGGGUCAAAGGAUAUCCUAAAACCAGCAGCAGCCACAGCUCAUAAGCAGGGGACCAUGCCCUGUACAAUCAACGGAAGGGAUUUGGAAUAAUAUGCCACUGGUCUCAUUCGUUCACCAUGUGUUUGUGCUAAAACUGCAGAGGUGACUUCCCCAUUGUCCAAUACAUAUCGAUGGAAGUCAAGGUUAUAGUCUGGAAGCCCCAACACGGGGGCCGAGCACAAAAGAUACUUCAUAUGACGAAAGGCAUGUCUCAUAUCCUCAGUCCAGUUUAAAGUUUCAGGUGCAUCUUGGAGAGUUGAUCUUCUUAACACAGAGUCAAAAAAGGCAUAAUCCGCAAGCCAGGGUCGACAAUUGUUCACCAGUCCCAAAAAGGAUAACAUUUCAGUUUUCAUCCGAGGUCUUUGAAUGUCCAUAAUGGCUGACACCCGUUCCGGAGAUAAAUACCUGCACCCCGCUCGCAGAACAUAGCCCAGAUAGUUGACCGAUUCCUGACAGAAUUGGAGCUUUGCAAGUGAUGCUCGGUGACCUCUUUCAGCAAGAUGUGUCAACAAGGCCACAGAAUCUUGAAUGCAUUCUCCUUCAUUAGUUCCAGGUUUAAGAAUAGGAUUUAUCGGGGUGUUGUUUUGGGAACGUCGAUUAACAAUCACCCCUUGCUCCAAAACAGUUUACUUUACUGGUCUUAUGCCUUUUUCUUUUUCUUUAGAUAGAGGAUACUGUUUAACAAACACUGGGUAUUUCUUAGGAUUAAUUUUGGCCUGAUAUGGUGGCACAUUCAAUAAUCCUACAUGAUUUGCAUGCAAAGCCCAAAGUUUAGAAGGUGCAGCCACUAAGAUCGAAGGCGGUUGCAACAGGAUUUCUUUAUGAUCCACUGGAGAAAUCAAGGGUCUGUCCACCAUUUUCAAAAGUUUGAUAAAGAAAUGCGUAGGUUCCGGUCCAUAAGACCAGAUGAUAUAAUCCUUGUUUUGAUCAAUUUGGUCAAGUGUCCUAUUUAGAUAGUCUUGACAGGAAAUCAAAAGAUGGUCAAUAUCCCCAAAAUCAGUUCGAACAGCACAGAUAAAAAAAUGAAUAACCUGUUUCUUGUUUCUCCAUAAGAGUACAAGACCAUUCGGAGACCAAAAAACGCUGUGGAAAUUCCUCCAUGUCAGUAGGACCAGUUACUUCAUCAGAAAAGGGCAUAUUGACGGAUUUCAAAUGUAUGAUCAACGCCGCACUGGCAGCCUGACAAGAUGCCAAUUUUUUGAUAUUCGUCAAAGUAAACAGGUCAGAGAUAAAAUCACAGUUUGUCAAUACACUGGUGGCAUUAUGUGACACUUCAACAAGAUGGGAGAAUAGUUGAUAUGUCUUGUCUGCUGGAAUAUAAACCUCAAUACCAUCAGGGGAACACGUAAUGACCGCAUUUAAUUUACUUAAUAUAUCACGUCCCAGUAAGGACACCGGUAUUGUAGCACUAACAACAAAGGAAUGUUGCAGUUUGAUGUCAUCCAGAUCAACAGGCAGCGGAACAGACAGGGGCUCUAGUUGUGGGACUCCAGAGAUACCGACAGAUUGAACAGAGAGAUUACUCAAAGGGCAACUGCUUUUUUCUUAAAUAUGAUGUAGUUGCCCCUGUGUCAACUAGGAACUUAAUAGGUUUACCAGAAACUUGCAUACUUAAUUGAGGUGUCUCAGCUUGUUCAUUGGAAACAUGAAAUUGUGGAAUAUUUAUAAUUAUUGUAGAGUAAUCAAGUCUGUUCAUGCCCCACAACUGUCAGUUAUAUCAUUGCUUCCACAAUGAAGAAGAAGCUGUCCCUCUGUCCGGAGGACCCUGGGUUGAGGGAUGACUUCCAGAUAUCAUCCUUUGUGUAUUGGUCUGUGGAGAGAAACCAGAGGUCAUAUGAGGAGGAUAAUAGGGAGGCAUUUGAUUUAUAGGCCCAUAUUGUGAACCUUGGGCCCUUUUUAAGGGUCACUGUUUUACCCAAUGUCCAACUUCACAACAGUACAGGCACCGAUCAUUCAUGUCCAUCAUUCUUCCUCGUCCCCGUCCUCUCCGCCUUGGGGGAAAAUAUUCACCCUUCGGGUUGACUGAAAAGUAUCCGGUAUGUACAGAGAGGGUUCAAAUGGCCCUUGCUCUCUGUAACGUCUAAAAUUUCCUCUGCCCCUGGUUGGUUGUACAUGUUGGAAUGCAUGGACGGAUUCUUUUACGUCGGUACUCAGCUGGACUGCUUGUGUUUUAUUUUUGGAUGCUGCAAAGAGGCCUAUGGCAUCAAGUUCUCUAACUUUCUUCAAAAGUCUACUAGGAUCAUAGGUAUAAAUAUCAGGUGCAACCACUCUAAGGGUGUACAAAGCAUUUUGAUCCAAUCCGUUCAAAAACAUAGAGGCAGAAAAGGGAUCCUCUUCUUCCUUAAUCUGUAAUUUGGCUUGUCUUUUCCAGCAUUGCAAGAAUCUAGAAGCAUAUUCAGCUAUCGGUUCAUUCUGUUUACGUUGACAAUUUAAGACCUGGGUAAUGUCCCGGUCCUGUGCUGCAUUUUUUUUCAAGGAAUUUAGUAAGUUCAGCAAUAUGCUCAGUUUUAUGGUCUCUGCUUAACCAGGGAUACUUUCCUUCAAUGGUCUCCUCCCCUUCUACUGGCCCAUCAUAUCGGUACCGUAAAUUGUCACAUUCUGCAAUUAGAGUAUCUAUCUUGAUGUGAGGCAUUAGUGUGGCAAGAAUGUAUCUAACAUCUCGUCCGGACAGAGAUGUAUGCAUUAAUGCCGUGGUCCACCAAUUCAUAAAUGCUGUAGGAUUGUUCAGCGGUGAGGGAGCAUCUCUAGUAAUCCGAAAGAUAUCAAUGAGAGUCAAUGGUUUAUCCAUUACACGAUUAUCGACAGUAAUGAGUGGUGUCACCAGAUUUACAUCAUCUUUGACAGCGGACGGGGUUCUCAGCUCACUGUCCUUCAUGUCACUCAACUGGUGCUCAAGGAAUUUAGAAAUGGCCUGUGUUUCAGCAUCAGAAAUUCUUGAAAUAAAAGCAUGAAACUGCCUGCUUCUAAUGGGCUUUGUUAAAUCAAGUUGAGUCUUAGGGCUCUAUUUUCGUGCGCGCCGGUGAGGCGGCGGAGGGCGGCGAGCCCCGCGCAGUUGUAUUUUCGUCUGGCGGAGCCCGGCGUAAGGCCAGUUUGGUAUUUUCGUGGACGGAGGCGAGCCGAGAUCCGCCAAGCUGGGCGUGGUGGCGUGGCAGGGGGAGGUGUGGACAGAAUCAGCAGGCGCAGUGACAUUUUCGUGCUCGCCACUGGCGUGUAAAGUGCGCUGAAAGCUUGCCGAUUCAAACCUGGUCAGCUUUCAGCGCAUGGCGGAGCACAGCUGGUCUAGUAGUAUUUUGGUAGACCGGCGGUGUAUCGACAUACGUCACUGAUGCCUCACCGGCAGGUUUCCACAGUGUCAGGCACAUUUCAGUGCAAUAAAUAAUCAUCAACAACUAUUAAUCUGAGUCAGCACAUACAUUUAGAUCUAUAUAGAUAUAUUUUGAUCUAUAUGUGAUCUGAUGAGCGCGUUUGGCACGCGUUUGGACACACAACCUGACCGAAUCAACACAGCUGAAACCGCAUCAAAUUAAAUUAAAUAUCUAGUAAAUAAACACACAUGAUGAAGUUAACAAGAUAUGUAAUUUGUCUCCCUCCUUUUCUUUCUUCCUCUUCCUCUUAUUUCUCGCACAG